AUUGAACGCUGGCGGCAUGCCUUACACAUGCAAGUCGAACGGCAGCACGGGAGCAAUCCUGGUGGCGAGUGGCGAACGGGUGAGUAAAGUAUCGGAACGUGCCCAGUCGUGGGGGAUAACGUAGCGAAAGUUACGCUAAUACCGCAUACGAGCUAUGGAUGAAAGCGGGGGAUCGCAAGACCUCGCGCGGAUGGAGCGGCCGCUAUCAGAUUAGGUAGUUGGUGGGGUAAAGGCUCACCAAGCCGACGAUCUGUAGCUGGUCUGAGAGGACGACCAGCCACACUGGGACUGGGACACGGCCCAGACUCCUACGGGAGGCAGCAGUGGGGAAUUUUGGACAAUGGGCGAAAGCCUGAUCCAGCCAUGCCGCGUGCAGGAUGAAGGCCUUCGGGUUGUAAACUGCUUUUGUACGGAACGAAAAGGUUUGGCCUAAUAAGCUGAGCUCAUGACGGUACCGUAAGAAUAAGCACCGGCUAACUACGUGCCAGCCGCCGCGGUAA
rnacentral:rRNA from 1 species